CAGGCCCACUUUUCCAAGCAUGAUCAGAAGCAGCAUGCAGCUGAUCUCCAGGGGCCGGCUGAGCUGGGGCUGGUGGUACCGACUAGUGCAGUUCUCACAGAGUAGAGCAGCCAUCCUCCAACGGUGAGAAGCAGCACACACACACAGGAGCAGAGCACGUCCCGCUGUGGCUUUCAGCUGUAACUCCGGGCUGUCUCUUCUUUUUUUCCAUGAUGUGUUUGGUAACUCGGAGACAAAUCUAAUGAGUGACAAGACGUGGAGGCCUGCGAGUUUGUUGCUGCAGCUCCUGCCCCAUGUGCAGGAUGGCAUCCAGAGCUGAGGCGCCUGCUUGGGCCGGGUCACCGCGUGGGAGGUGGAGAGAUGCUACGGUCACCCUACAUGCUGGCAGUUAAGGCAGUACCA
rnacentral:lncRNA from 1 species